rnacentral:lncRNA from 1 species
GGUGCUUGACAUUUGACAUUAUCCCUCCCCCUCCCCACCAACUUACGCUAAUACUAACUUUCCAACCCACACUGGAAGACACAGGCAUUUCAAUUUCAAUGCUAUCUAUCACCUCGACCCUAACCCUAACCCUAGCCCUAACCCUGCAAGAACAAUAAGUCAUCCUCAAGUACCGCUAUUUCUGCACUAUCCAUGACCCUUACGAAAAGAAGCACCCUAACCCUAACAAUCAUACCCACACUCCAAACGUCAGGUACAUGAAUUGGAACCCUAAACCUCAACCUCCUCCUAACCCUAACCCUAACCCUAAGGCGCAGGACCAAAUCACAAUCCCCAGGUGCUUGACAUGUGACAUUAUCCCUCCCCCUCCCCACGAACUUACGCUAAUACUAACUUUCCAACCCACACUGGAAGACACAGGCAUUUCAAUUUCAAUGCUAUCUAUCACCCUGCCCCUAACCCUAACCCUAGCCCUAACCCUGGCAGAACAAUAAGUCAUCCUCAAGGACCAAUAUUUCUGCACUAUCCAUGACCCUUACGAAAAGAAGAACCCUAACCCUAACAAUCAUACCGACAUUCCAAACGUCAGGUACAUGAAUUGGAACCCUAAACCUACACCUACUCCUAACCCUAACCCUAACCCUAAGCCUCAGGACCAAAUCAAACUCCCCAGGUGCUUGACAUUUGACAUUAUCCCUCCCCGUCCCCAAGAAAUCAUGCUAAUACUAAGUUUCCAACCCACACUGGAAGACACAGGCAUUUCAAUUUCAAUGCUAUCUAUCACCCUGACCCUAACCCUAACCCUAGCCCUAACCCUACCAGAACAAUAAGUCAUCCUCAAGAUACCGCUAUUUCCUCACUAUCCAUGACCCUUACGAAAAGAAAAACCCUAACCCUAACAAUCAUACCCACACUCCAAACGUCAGGUACAUGAAUUGGAACCCUAAACUUCAACCAGCUCCUAACCCUAACCCUAACCCUAAGGCUCAGGACCAAAUCAAACUCCCCAG